CGGCAUGAGUGUUUUAUUCUUUACUGUUGUUUCAAAGUAGUGCAAAAUGAAUAUGUUUGUUUGGUUCCUAUUGGCUUGUAAUCUUGGGUUAUGUUUGAAUACAGUUAUCAGAAAAUCCACUUUCCUCGGUGGUCCAAUGGACCGGGGUUAUUGGGUAGAAAGGCGAUGCAGAUCUCAUAGCGGAGUGUGUAUAGAGGUCGACAGUCCUUGUGACGGGAAAGUUAUCAGAGGAUAUGGACUAUGUCAUGGCCGCUAUAUAAAGAAAUGCUGUGCCUACUUUUAAUAGGCUCAACAUGUGAUCUUUAAAAUGAGAAAGAAGAAACAUAACCUGAUCGAAGUCUUCACAGUUAAAUUGUACCACAUUAAAAUUUAGAUUGCAUUUAAGAAUUA